AACGAACGCUGGCGGCAUGCCUAACACAUGCAAGUCGAACGAGACCUUCGGGUCUAGUGGCGCACGGGUGCGUAACGCGUGGGAAUCUGCCCUUCGGUUGGGAAUAACUGAGAGAAAUUUCAGCUAAUACCUUAUAAUGUCUUCGGACCAAAGAUUUAUCGCCGAGGAAUGAGCCCGCGUAGGAUUAGGUAGUUGGUGGGGUAAUUGCCUACCAAGCCGACGAUCCUUAGCUGGUCUGAGAGGCUGAUCAGCCACACUGGGACUGAGACACGGCCCAGACUCCUACGGGAGGCAGCAGUGGGGAAUAUUGGACAAUGGGCGAAAGCCUGACCCAGCAAUGCCGCGUGAGUGAUGAAGGCCUUAGGGUUGUAAAGCUCUUUUACCCGGGAUGAUAAUGACAGUACCGGGAGAAUAAGCUCCGGCUAACUCCGUGCCAGCAGCCGCAGUAA
rnacentral:rRNA from 1 species